rnacentral:rRNA from 1 species
GGACGGGAUUGGGGAGCUUGCUCCCCAUGAGAGUGGCGCACGGGUGCGUAACACGUAUGUAACCUACCUUUAUCAGGGGGAUAGCCUCUCGAAAGAGAGAUUAAGCCCGCAUAAAAUCACACUCUGGCAUCAGAGAAUGAUCAAAUAUUUAUAGGAUAAAGAUGGGCAUGCGGAACAUUAGCUAGUUGGUAAGGUAAUGGCUUACCAAGGCUACGAUGUUUAGGGGAUCUGAGAGGAUGACCCCCCACACUGGUACUGAGACACGGACCAGACUCCUACGGGAGGCAGCAGUAAGGAAUAUUGGUCAAUGGGCGCAAGCCUGAACCAGCCAUGCCGCGUGCAGGAAGACGGCCCUACGGGUUGUAAACUGCUUUUAUACGGGAAUAAACCUACCUAUGUAUAGGUAGCUGAAUGUACUGUAAGAAUAAGGAUCGGCUAACUCCGUGCCAGCAGCCGCGGUAAUACGGAGGAUCCAAGCGUUAUCCGGAUUUAUUGGGUUUAAAGGGUGCGUAGGCGGCCUAUUAAGUCAGGGGUGAAAGACGGUAGCUUAACUAUCGCAGUGCCCUUGAUACUGAUAGGCUUGAAUAUACUAGA